GUGUCAGCAGCCGCGGUAAUACGUAGGGCGCAAGCGUUGUCCGGAAUUAUUGGGCGUAAAGAGCUCGUAGGCGGUUUGUCGCGUCCGCUGUGAAAACCUGAGGCUCAACCUCGGGCUUGCAGUGGGUACGGGCAGACUAGAGUGCGGUAGGGGAGACCGGAAUUCCUGGUGUAGCGGUGGAAUGCGCAGAUAUCAGGAGGAACACCGAUGGCGAAGGCAGGUCUCUGGGCCGCAACUGACGCUGAGGAGCGAAAGCAUGGGGAGCGAACAGGAUUAGAUACCCUCGUAGUCC
rnacentral:rRNA from 1 species